CUACUUAGACCAUAACAACUUUUGCAAACGGGAUUUGCGCGUUCUGCUCAAGUACCCAGCAAGUUUUCUGGCGAGGUAGAGAAAGGGUUUCUCCAAGUUGUACUUGCUCUUUGCAGAAAUUUCAUAGUACUGCAAAUUCUUCUUCCGCUGGAACGUAACCUGCUUCGCUUCAACUUGCCUAUUCUUCACAUCUACCUUGUUCCCACAGAGAACAGUAGGUAUAUUCUCACAGACCCUACAAAAUCAAUGAGUAAUUAGCGAGAUAUAGCACCAUCAAAAACCGUAGUGUGAGAACAAAUACAAAGGUCGCCGGCGUUUCUACUCUACCUGCAGAGAUCGCGAUGCCAUAUAGGAACAUUCUUGUAUGUCCAUCGAGCAGUGACAUCAAACAUGAUAAUUGCACACUGGCCAUGAAUGCUGCAGAACAACGAAUGAAAGUUUGAAAUUUCACACACGAAGACACAAGAGGGAGAGAGAUUCCCAUCUCCCGAAGUAAGGUUAAAAAGUGAAUAAAGGAAAUCGCCACAUUCAGAAGACCACUCCACCACCGCCAGGAUUAAGUACAAGACGCAGUUCGAAUAUAAGAUUUAAAGAGAUGCGACUGACACAAAUUUUACCAACUUUUAACAAAAUCAGAAAAAAGGACGACCCUGAAACAGAUAUGCACCCUUUACCGUGGAUUUCUUUUUUUUUUUGGGGGCAAAAAUACUUGCUUCUUCCUCCACAACUUCACAAAAAACAAUUGACUGCACCACUAUUAAGUAAUAAUAGUUAUCCUUAGUAAAACCCAGACAGUUAAAUAAACUACCAACCAAGAUAUGUCUACCCCGUAAUUAAAGCGUUGUUAAAUACGAGCUCAACGCGACAUUUUUCUCCCUAUCAUCACUCAAUUCACAAGAACUUCAACUGGAAUCUGAAAAUCCUUCCACGGAUUUAAAAAGCAAGGAAAUUCUAAGAUGGAACUCUCUUUACUCACUAAUAUCCUUCUCUUAGACCACCAAGCUUCUCCUGCCCUGCAGUAUCCCAGCAGUAAAACCGGAUUUUCCCACAGUUUGUGAAGAAAUCCAAAGGAUGGACUUCGACACCAGUAGUCGCUGUUAUGCACAAGGACAAUACCAGAAGAUCAGUACAGACUAAACAAAAUGAUAAUCUAACGACAUCAAAAAAAGGAAAUAACAGGCAUUUCCACAUCACUUACGCUCAUAUUUCUUUUCAAACUCCCCAGUAAGAUGUUUCUUCACAAAAGUCGUUUUGCCUGCACAAAGGAACGGACUAAGCUCAGCCUGCUAUCCCUUGCUUGACGCUAGAAAGAAAAGAUACAUCUCAUGCCUUCUACAUCAUGACAAAUGAAGAAGAUGGCAGAACCACUUUUCGACAUCCCCAGAAAUUGUGUAAAAACAUACUGUCCGCCACAUCAAAUGGUAAAUCCUCUAUCUUGAAGGAUAUAGCCACGAGCACGUUACAUUUUCCUGAUCCCGAAGGGUAAAAUAACUAGAGCAAACCCUAAUUUAUCGCGACGGCAUAUGCACCCCGUUAUGUAUACAGAGCAACGAACGAUUGAAUCAAAACAGGUAAAACAGAGCACGCCGGCGACAAUUACCUGUGCCAGCAUCGCCGACGAGGAGGAGCUUGAAGCUCGGGUAAUCGACAUUCUGCUGAUUCGGCAGAGCCUGAAAGAGACGCAAAGCAAACAAGAAGGAAAUUAAAAAAACAAAAUGAGAGCAAAAUCCAAACUUGCGAUCACGUAACCAGAUCGCUCAGCUCCAGAACCCCCAAAAGAAACAACAUCUGACCAGGACCCAAAAGCUCGGGAAGAAUCAAAAAAAGAAUCGAGAUUCAAGAAGACCCAGCAACACCAAGAACACGAGCUAUCCAUAUAAGAAUGGACGCGUGGAAAAUGGGAUGAUGAAAAGGAAAGAAAAGCGCAUAGGACCAUUUGGUUCGGCUCUAAGGAAAUGGAGAAUGCAAAUAUCUUUGAGGAAAUGGGAUUUUCCGAUACGUUACGCUUAGCAUGAAAAGGUAAUUUAGCAUAAAUACCGGCAAAACUCACAAAUGGGCUUUGGCUUUUUUCUUUUCUUUUUCUAAUCUGAAAAUUAAAUCCGGCGGCUGGCUAACCACCGGCCAACUGCCGGACGGCCAGAUCUGGCCGCCUGAGGUCGCGACCUCAGGCGACGCCGUCGUCUACAGUCGCAGAGGCCAGAUCUGGCGGCCUGAGGUCGCGCGGACCCAGGCGGUGGUCACCGGGGACGCGCGACCCCCAGGCGGCGGCGGUGGUUGCCGGAGAAGCCCGACUCUCAGGCGGGGAUGACGAAGACGAACGGGGAAGAAGAUGAACAGUGACGCAUGAACAGUGAACUUGCAUUCAAAAAUUGUCUCCCAAACGCAAAAUAUUUUUCUCAAGCGGCUCUAGCCCCAAAGCCCCUCGAAAAAGCCGAAUCAAACGAGGCAAACCAACUCACCAUUGAUGAUUGCGAAGAGGAGGGUCGGGAUUUCGGUGGGUGUCUGAGACAGAGAGAAUCUCGAAUAGGUUCGGAGCAGCGAAGUGAAGUGCGACAGGAAAGGGCGGCCGGCCGUACAGGGAGGAGGUUUAGACGGAAGGGAAAGCGUGUUUUUCCCUUUUUUUUUCUUUUUUCUUCUGCCUAACAUGGCUUUAAGCCGACGCUGCCGUCUCCUCCGUUAGAUUCGAUUUACUUAGAACCUGCUGACCGUCCGAUCUGUACCUCCCCUCCAUGUUCCUAAAUUUCUUCGAGGCGAAAGUGCGAGGAAAUUUCUUAAGAGUAUAUAUACAAAAAUUGAAAUUUUAAAUCCUUCGCCCUUUAUCUCACCAGACUCCUUGCACUUUUCAUCAAAUUUCAUGCCCUCGUUCCGACAGAGGGUCACGGAACCAGAACUUGAACGAAAAACAAGAAAGAAUUUAAAUUUUUAACGAGAAUUAAUUUUUUCUUCUUCUUCAAAGAGCCGAUUUAUGGAACUGCUCGUUUUUUUUUUUUUUUUCAAAAAUCAAUAAUCUAAUGAAAAAGAAAAAUUUAGAAUUGAUCUUGAGUCACAUACCGAUCACUACAUUUACAUUACACAUAAAAUAUGUUAAUUUUGAUUCGGAUCAUUUUUCGACCCGACUCUCGACUCAUCGGUUUGACGGAUUUAAUUUUGGCAUGCUGAAACGAAUGAUUCCUUAUUAAAGAUAGAUUAUUCACGCCCAAAUAUAUAAAAGAAAAGAUUAAUCUAUUGUGGCCGGAUGUGCUUUCCUUGUGCCAUGCCCCCACGCCAGUGAAAAAUGCCCAUGAGUUGAGGCCUUCCCGAUUUGAGUCUCGCAAUGCAGCAGCUGAACAUCCGUAGAACUUGAAUGAACGAUUAUGUAAUUGUGUCGAGUUCAUUAGGAUGCAUCUUACCCGUGACCUAACUGAUAAUUCUUUCCUACAUGGCCCGGUUCGAAAUAUGAGCAGCGGAUGAAUGUUUUCGCCCAAUUUUGUCUACUUAGGUCAUGUUUUCGAUUGGUCAUUUGUUAUUUUAAAGCGUGCUUAAUCGUAUUAUGAAUGGAUUCUCGGGCAGUAAAACUUUGAGGAGAUACAAUACCAUGCAUAUACCAUAAGUUCUAAACCCCAUGUACAAAACACAUUUGAAAGCUAAAUCUUAUAACUGGUUCGAUCAAGUUCUAGAUUAUAUCAUGCGGUCUAAUUGAGCUCCAAAUUUUUUUAAUUAAACGAUUUUUUUGGAAAGUACAAUAAAGUCCUGAGUCGAGAUAAGAAAUUGGCAGUUCAUAAACCAUAAUUGUCUUUAGCAAUUUAUAUUUACGGAAAUUGAAGGUUAAUUCGAUAAAUCAACUAAGAGCAAUUAUGUAAUUUAGCAAAACAAAAAAAAUUGAAAGUAAUCUCGUCCCAAUAUAGAACUCUUGAAUGCUCCUUACCGUCUCCAAAACCGGAAAACCGCUUCGCCACGGCCAACAGUAAUAUGAAAGCCAAAGGUCAUUUUGAGAUCUGAAUUCUUAACCCAGCAAAACUCUAUUCUGGCUUUCUAGUAAAAAAAAAAAAAAAAACUCUUUUUUCUGGUUGAAAACUCCUUUGUUUUCCUGACGAGUCUCUCUCAAGCGUCCGCGCGCAUUUAUCAAUCUCUCUUGAAUGGCCUCGCCGUCCGACGCCUCCAACCAGUAAGUUCACAAUUCUCGUUUUUUUUUUUUUUCCAAAAAAUUUGGGUCUUUUUGAAGCUCAAAGUCUGCAUCUUUCUUGAAUAAUCCGAGUCGAUCGGUUGUGUUGACUCGAGGGUUUUGGUCUUUUUCUUUUUGGUGAUUUGAAAGGGAGGCUGUUGUGAGGAAGCAAAACAAAGGAGCCCCGAUUAAGUUCUUGGUCCCUCUUAUAUACGCCCCUGUUCUUCCUCUCAGUACGUAUGAUGAUCGUUUAGAGUUUGAUUAAAUUUCGUCGGUUUUCCAUCGUUUCUGUCGUAUCCUAUCUGGGUUUUGGUUUUCUUAUUGAAUUGGUGUUGCACCGUUUGGAAUCUGGUUUCGCAGUUCGGCUCUCGUUGAGGAGGAACCCGGUGGUGAGGGAUCGUUUGUUUACCCUCGUCUUGGCUGGGGCUUUCGCUCACGGGUUUUACUUGGUGUAUCCUUUUCCUUGCAUUCUUUUUCUUUUUGUUGCCAUCUCGUGCUUUCGGCUGUUAUCUGUUCAUGUUCAUGGUAUUGAUGGAUUGUGCUUAUUAAAGCAUUCGUCUUUGAUUUAUGUCGAGAUUUUCUGCGGAUGUUCUUCUCUAGAUGAAUGUAUUAGUAUUUUCCAUCGUAUCCAUUUUUUACCGUCUAUUGCGGAUUGAUCGGUUAACGGUUUGUAAUUGUAUAGGAUCCAGAAAAUGGUGGUGUCUUCGUUGGCGCAAGAUGUCAAUUCUGUACUUAAUCGGAGUCUCUUUACAGGAGGUUACUAGAUGCAUGUCUUGUAGUGAUUCUGAGCGAGCAGUUUCAACCUUAUGAUCUUAGUGAACUGAGGAUUCGAUGGAUAAGGUGCAAAACCUUAAACGUUAAUGGCCUUGUCCCGCUCUUGAUCCCUUGACAAACUUUGGUAUACAUGCUCUGAUAGCGCUUAGAAAGCCGUUUCAAAGAACCAGUGAUUGAGUUCUUUAGAGCUCCUUUAGAUACUUAGGUGGUGGCAAAUAGGUUUUGAAUCCUUGUAUAAUUGUGAAAUCGAGUCUUCACUUGCACACUACGACGGAAUGUUUUCCUUAGUGAUGGGCUCUUUCUCUCUGAAAAAAGUAUUAUCUUCAAAUGCAUGUCAAGGUCUUCCCAGGAUGUUGGCAUGUAAGGUCUCUAUUCUUCUGCUGCGGAUGAUUUAACGACAUGAACUAAGAUACAGUUUCUUUCGAUAUGUAGCAAGUUGUUUUUGGCUGAAAUAUGUAGGUUUGAGGAACCACGAGUUUUAGGAAGUCAAGCAAACAAAAAAGGCAUUCUAACACCACCUGGGAUUUAUGUAUUAUAAGCAACCAGAAUAAGAGCCUGGGGUCCCAUUGUACUUCUAGCAAUAUUAAGGUACGCUUGAUGUGUAUUUACAUUCUCUCACAUAUGAUGUGAUCCUCACGGGGGAUUCACGAUUAGGUGAGGCAAGAGUAUAAACCAGAUAAUGUCAAAGGGGGGAAAAAUAAGAGGAACUUACAAAUCUGAGCAACUCGAAUUGAUUUAUUUGGUGAACUAGGUUCCUUUAUUUAUCUCCUUGUGGAUAUACUUUUGGCUUCUUGAUACGGCAUUCGUCUAAUUUAGAAAAAGAAUGUUGCGUUCAGAACAUAAUAUCUCUACACUAAUGGGCCAUGCUUGAUAUUUUCCUGCUCAGCCUCGUAACAAUAAAGUGGAACAAAGUUCUCUCUAUGAUAAUACUAUCUAUGAAUCAGUAAUGAGCAAUUACCCUACUGCUUCUCCAACUUUAACCUGGUUUGAGCCCAAUGUUUAUGCCCAUUGAACUCAGAGCAGUAUCAAUCGCUAUGAACUAACAGGCAUUUCCACAUCACUUACGCUCAUAUCUCUUUUCAAACUCCCCAGUAAGAUGUCUCUUCACAAAAGUCGUUUUACCUGCACAAAGGAACGGACUGCGCUCAGCCCCCCAUCCAUUGCUCGACACUAGAAAGAGAAGAUACACCCCAUGGCUUCUGUGUCGUGACAAAUGAAGAAGAUCGCAAAACCGCUUCUCGUCCGACACCGUUCGUUUUGGACAAAUCCCCAGAAAUUGUGUAAAAACAUACUGCUCGCCACUUCAAAUGGUAAAUCCUCUAUCUUCAAGGAUAUAGCCACGAGCAUGUUACAUUUUCCUGAUCCCUACCACUAAAAUAACUAGACCGAAGCCUAAUUUAUCACAACAGCAUAUGCACCUGGUUAUAUAUACAUAGCAACGAAUGAUUGAAUCAAUACCAGUAAAACAGAGCGCGCCAGCGACAAAUUACAUGUGCCUCCAUCGCCGACAAUGAGAAGCUUGAAGCUUGGGUGAUCGAAGAGAGAGAGAGAAUCGAAUGCAUUCGGAGGAGCGAAGGGUGGUGGGAGAGGACACAGCAGUGUAGGUUUCAAGAGGAGGGAAAGCGAUGGGAGAAUAGAACUUAGAAUUUAAAAACCGAAUCGGGGUUAUAGAUUUCAAAAAUUAAAGAAUCUGUUUCAGCGGAUAGUUUCCAGAUUCUAGAUUGGUGGAACUUACAUUGAUCUAUAUCUUCGUACGAUCCUACAGUAUUUCAUGACGUUUAAUGAUAAAUGCAUAAUCUGAAACCGCUAGUAUGAGCUUCCACUUUAUAAUUGAGACUUUUACAAUAUAAAUUAUUAUCAGUAUUGUAGAAGUAAUUGGUGGUCAUUAGAAGUUAGAAUUCAUUACAAUCGUUCGAUUAAUAAUUAUAAGUAGAGCUUGGAUAGACCCAGGAACUGUGACGGGAUAGGUUCUGGGUCUCAAAAAAUGAGGAAAUUAUUCUAAUGAGUAGGUUUACCUGAAAUUUAUAUGGAAUCUCAAACCGCUCAUUCAGGAUAAGAGGAGGAACGAGAAGAAAGACGGCGGACAUUUUUUUUUUGUCGAACGUUGCUUUAAGUUGACGCUGCUGUCUCCCCCGUCAGAUUCGAUUACUUUCUUACAAGCAGUGUUCUAGAAUCUGUUGACCGUCCGAUCAUUACAGACUCCUGGUUGAACUUGCACCCCCUUCGUGUUCCUAAAUUUCGAGGGAGUGAGGAAAUUUUUGAAGAAUAUAUAAAAACAACAUUUCACGUUCUUCUCAAUUUUCAUUGAAUUUCAGUUCUUCUCAAAUUUUCAUUGAAUUUCGUUCCCUCGUUGCGUGAGAGAGGUAAGGGAACGAAAAUUUUAAAUGAAAAGCAAUGAAAAAUCUAAAAUUUUAGAUUAUUUCCCUCCCCUCCAAUUGCCAAAACAAAGCUCGGUGGUAGGCUAUCUUAAUCAAUUCUGGCAUACUAGAUCAAAUGAUUCCUUAUCAAAGAUAGAUGGUUUACACCAAAACAAAGAAAAUCACAAAUAAUUAACCAAUCAUGACCGGAGACAAUUCACCCUUAGUAAAACUGGAAUUAAAAAGUGUUUUAGGGCCAUUGAUGAAGUUCGACUUUUACAAGGCAAUCAAAAUAUAGACCGUCAAAUUGAAGAGAUCAAGUAUCCAAACAUUGAUGAUAAAAUAUUGUCUAUGGUUGAACUGAAAAUAACUCUUUAUCAAUUGUCGGAUGCAAAAUAGACAAAAUUACAGUGAAAUUCUCCCAUAGACACCAAAGAAAGAAAACUGAUUUUAGGGAACCAAAAUUUGAAUGAAAAGCAUGAAAAAAUUUAAAAUUUUGCCCAAAAUUUCCUCCUCUCCCAUUGCCAAACAAAGCCGUGUUACAAGCUAACUUAAUCAAUUGUGACACUCUAAAUUGAAUAUUCCUUAUCAAAAAUAGACCAUCCACACCGACGGGAAAAAAAAAAAUACUAAUAAUUACUCGAUCGUGACCAGAGACAAUGUGCCCCUAGUGAAGCCUAAAAUUAGAAAGUGUUCUAGGGCCAUUGAUUAAGUUCAACUUUUUCAAGGCAAACGGAACAAAGAGAUCAGGUAUCCAAAUGUUGGAUGUUAAAGUAAUGUCCAUCAUCGGACCAACAAUGACUCAUUAUCAAUUGUUGGAUGUGUAACGACAAAAUUACGAUGAAAUUCUCCAAAGACACCAAAGAAAGAAAACUGAUUUUCAGGAACGGAGUAUGCAUUGUUCAAUGUUUGUAAGACCUCCGACGAUUCGUGCUUGCUCGGUCCAAGUUUUUUGAAGCUUUGGUCGUGCCAUGCCACUAUGCCCGUGCAAAAAUGGGCAGUGAAUGAAUAUUUUUCGCCCGAUGUUGUCUCCUUAGAUUAUGUGUUCAAUUGGACAUCUGUCGUUUUAAAGCACACUUAAUCGUAGUAUCGAUGGAUUCUCGAGAUGCAAACUUUGAUAAGAUGUAACAGCACGCAUAGUAAUUUAUUGCGUUUCUUUUGAGAAAAUUGUGCCAAGAGUUGUAAACCCUAUGUAUGAAAUGCGUUUGAAUUCUAAAUCUUUUAAUUGGUCCGGUCAACGUCAACGCCAUGGGUCCCACAUCCCAUCUCCCCGUGUUUUGACUCGCUUUACUCGCAACGUGCUUGGAGAGGGGGGGGGGGGAGGGGGAAGGGAAGGAGGGAGGGGGUGAAUUCUAGAAGUGCGUCGAAGACCGGUGAUCGUGGUGCUUUGAUGUACGUAGUCGGAGGUUUUUGGGUCGGGGUGCUUUCAAUUCGCAAUUUGAGGUUGUCGUUAGACGCUUGUUUUUACCGGUUUUGCCGUCGGCUCGCCGGUGAAAUUGGCGUUAUUAACGUGGGUUUGGAGGUACUUGUUUAUUAGUUGCAUACGCUACAAGGUUGGAGCGGCAAGAGAUACGCUUCCCUUUCUCCCGAUCGUGUGAAUUAUCGAGUAAGCAGGGAUUUGAUGUUCGUGAUGACAACGCGCAAAGGCUAUUUCGUUUUUUUGGUGCUUGUGAUGACGACGUGCAAAGGCUAUUUCGCGUUCUCGUUGAGCGUACGUUGGCUUUUUCAAUUUGCACAAUUAGUGCUUGUUUUUAUGUUUGAUAUAAGUAAAGAAUCUUUUUUCUCGAGUGGGAUUUACAGAACUUGUAAUUUGUCGUGUUAUAAAAUUUUAGUUCGAUCCAGAGCAGAUACGUGCGCACUUCUCUAAAUAUUAUGAUUGUUUCAUUUUAAUUACGUACAUCGUCAUAUUUUGUUAUUUUACUCUCUUUUUUCGUUUCCUUUUUUAAUUUGACAUAAAAUUUUAACCAAGCAACACAUUAACAUAAAGAGCCUAAAGUAAUUAAAUGGACGCAGUACGGCAAUAAGAAUGGAAAUUGUAUUACAUAAGAAUGGAUCCAUACAACUUAAAUGAAUUAAUUUAGGUCGGACCAUCUUCGAACCGACCCGCCUAUUUAACACCCUCGACAGCAUCCAUGUACUGCAAUUGUCUAAAAAAAUAUGUAAGCUGUUAACUAUCAAUACAUGUUUGCCGAAAUUGAGGUUAAUUUGAUAAAUCAAGCGGAAACAAUAAUGUAAUUUAGCAAAACCAAAAAAGUGAAAACAUCUCCCAUCCCCAAUGUAGAACUCCAAAAUCGCAAGGAUGCAGGCUGAAACCACCUGCCGUCUCGAAUGCUCAUUACUGUCUCCAAACCUGAAAACUGCUUUUCUAGCGCCAUCGGGAAGUGGCUGAAUAGCUGCUUCAGCAAGUUCUGCCUCAUGCCUGUUCGAGACAACAGCCACCGUAGGUCAACGGACAGUUGAGAAGAGGUUUAUGAACCAUCAAACUAGCUACACAACUUUGACUCAAAAAAGAAAAAAGAAAAAAAAGAAAACUAGCUACAAAGCAAUUUCCGAAAGAGACCAAGCGACGCAACCCCUGGCGACGCUGAUGGGGACCAGCACGUCCUCGUGUUUUGUUUUUUAAAAAAGACACUGGCCACAGAAUACUAUUAUAUCUGUGACCCGACCCGACAAAAAGGAUCAGAUAGACCGGACAGACAACCCCAGCUACAAUUACCACUCCAUAACACCAACCGCAUCAAUUGCAAGCACGAUUGUGAUGUAUCCAGAAGAGAGAGGGGGAGGACGAAGGGCGAGACGCACGACGACACGACAAUUCGUAGAAAUUAACGUUACAUAAAGCAGAUAACAUAGGCCAAGAUUCUUACUGCUGCUGUGGGGCAAAGUCCAUGUGCACUUCUGGAGGAGCAAGAGCAGGAGACUCAACAAAGUGCAGAUUUGGAUCCCUGCGUUUACCAGCACAAACGAUUAGCUACUAGACCAUAACAACUUUUGCAAACGGGAUUUGCGCGUUCUGCUCAAGUACCCAGCAAGUUUUCUGGCCAGGUAGAGGAAGGGUUUCUCGAGGUUGUACUUGCUCUUUGCAGAAAUUUCAUAGUACUGCAGAUUCUUCUUCCGCUGGAACGUAACCUGCUUUGCUUCAACUUGCCUAUUCUUCACAUCUACCUUGUUCCCACAGAGAACGACAGGUAUGUUCUCACAGACC
rnacentral:lncRNA from 1 species